UACAGAGGGUGCGAGCGUUAAUCGGAAUUACCGGGCGUAAAGCGCACGUAGGUGGCGACGUAAGUCGGGGGUGAAAGCCCCGGGCUCAACCUGGGAAUUGCAUUCGAGACUGCAUUGCUGGAGUACGGAAGAGGAGGGCGGAAUUCCCGGUGUAGCGGUGAAAUGCGUAGAUAUCGGGAGGAACAUCAGUGGCGAAGGCGGCCCUCUGGUCCAGUACUGACACUCAAGUGCGAAAGCGUGGGGAGCAAACAGG
rnacentral:rRNA from 1 species